rnacentral:rRNA from 1 species
UUUAACGGCCGCGGUACCCUAACCGUGCGAAGGUAGCAUAAUCACUUGUUUCUUAAAUAGGGACUAGUAUCAACGGCAUCACGAAGACUACACUGUCUCCUCCCUAAAAUCAAUGAAACUGAUCUCCUCGUGAAGAAGCGAGGAUACAAAUAUAAGACGAGAAGACCCCAUGGAGCUUUAAACGAACUUCAAUUGCUCCCUCCCUUAUCAUAGAAAUUGAGCACUAAUGAUAGACAGUUUUCGGUUGGGGUGACCACGGAGUAAAACAAAACCUCCACAAUGAAUACAAUAAAAGAAUUACAAUUCUAACAAUCAAUAAAUUGACAUAAUUGACCCAAACACUUGAUCAAUGAACCAAGUUACCCUGGGGAUAACAGCGCAAUCCAUUUUAAGAGCCCUUAUCGACAAAUGGGUUUACGACCUCGAU